GACGUAGGGCGCGAGCGUUGUCCGGAUUUAUUGGGCGUAAAGAGCUCGUAGGCGGCUUGUUGCGUCAGCUGUGAAAACCCGCAGCUCAACUGUGGGCUUGCAGCUGAUACGGGCAGGCUUGAGUUCGGUAGGGGAGACUGGAAUUCCUGGUGUAGCGGUGAAAUGCGCAGAUAUCAGGAGGAAUACCGGUGGCGAAAGCGACUCUCUGGACGGCAACUGACGCUGAGGCACGAAAGCGUGGGGAGCAAACAGG
rnacentral:rRNA from 1 species